CUGUAUAGUCAGGAGCUGGCUCAAUGUUAAUGUCAUUGUCUCUCCUGAAAUCACCUGUCAGUGCAAGAGACCUCUGAAUUUCCUUUCUUAUUUCUUGAUCUAAGCAUGUAUAUAGUGUCAUGGGCCAGGUUAAUUAAAGCUCACUGAAUAUCACAUACUAUCCUCUGAACAAUCAUACGUGUUGCUUCUUUAAAAGCAGGAAAGAAAAAAUCAGGUUCUAUAUGGCCUACCAAGCUUAAAUCGUCUCUGUGAUGGGAACUGUACAAAAGUCAACAGGUCAACAACAAACACUAGUUUACAUACUCAGUAGGUGAAAGAGUGAGCCAAUUCAUAGAUUUCAUUUCUGAUUGUAUUUUUUAACAUUUUAUUUUCAAAGAAUUAUAAAUCCACAGAAGGUUGCUAAAAGGUGGAAACAACUCAAAUGUCCAUCGAUGGAUAAAUGGAUAAAUGUGGUACAGUGGUCCCCCCUUAUCCUGGGGGGAUACAUUCCAGGAUCCCCCAGUGGAUACCUGAAACUGUGGAUAGUACCGAACCCAACUGCUGUCAGUGGGAACACAUUUCUGUUCACAUAUUCCACCUACAAUUUAACGCCUUUUCCAGCUUAACUAAACACUUACCAGUAUUGUGGUCGUAACUUGCGGUUUGAGGUGUGACAGCAAAACUAGCACGAAUUUCUUUUUUCCCUUCACAAUUUCACAGAUAGAAGAUUCAUUCCUAACUAUAGAUCUUAGCAGCCUCAGCAUAUCAUUUUUUUUCUUUCCUGAAGCCGAGAAUUUUCACCUUUUCACUUAAAGGAAGCACUUUAUGGUUUCUCUUUGGUAUAUUUGAGUUGCCAGCAUCACUACACUUGUGCUUUGGGGCCAUUAUUAAGUAAAAUAAGGGUUACUUGAACACAAGCACUGCGAUACUGGGGCAGACAACCUGGCAACAAAGAUGGCUAUUAAGUCACUACUGGGUGGAGAGUGUAGACAGAGUGGACACGAUGGGCAAAGGGAGGGUUCAUGCCCUUAGCAGGAUUCAGCAAGAUUUUAUUAUACCUCUCAGAACUACUCACAGUUCAAAAGGUAUGAAUUGUUUAUUUCUGGAAUUUUUCAUUUAAUAUUUUUGUAUUGCUGUUGACUGUGGGUAAUUGAAACUAAGGAAAGUAAAAUUGUGGAUAAGCAGGGAUGGGCUACUAUACAUACAGAUAAUGGAAUAGUAUUCAGCCUUAAAAAGGAAGGAAAUUCUGAUAUGUUUCUAUGACAUGGAUGAACCCUGAAGACACUAUGCUAAGAGAAAUAAGCCAGUUACACAAAGAUAAAAACUCUGUGAUUCCACUUAGAUGAGGCACUUAUACGAGUAGUCAAAUUCAAAGAGACGAAAAUUUGAAUGGUGUCUGUCAGGGGCUGGGAGGUGAGGGGAAUGAGGAGUUGUUUCAUUGGUAUGAACUUUCAGUAUGGGAAGAUAUAAAAAGUCCUCUGGAGAUGGAUGGUGGUGUUUGUUGCAUAAUAAUGUGAAUAUAUUUAAAGCCAACAAACUGCGCCUGUAAAAAUAGUUACAAUGGUACAUUUUAUGUUAUGUAUAUUUUACCACAAUCAAAAAUUGACAAGAAAGUCCCACAGACACUUCACUAGGCCAAUCCAGUGUAACAGCUUGCAUGACUAUAAUACAUUAUCAAAACCAGGGAACUGACAUUGGUACAACCCAGACUCAUUCAGACUUCACAAGUACUCGUGUGUGUGCGCGUGUGUGCGUGUGUAUGUGUGUGUGUGUGUGUGUAGCUCUAUGCAAUUUUAUCACCUGUGUGGCGCUGUUUCAUCACAAGCCACUCUUUGUGCUGUCCUCUGUGGCCACACUUGCUCCUUCCUGACAACUAACCUGUGCCUCAUCUCUAUAAUUGUUUCACUUAAAAAAUGUUACAAAAUGAAGUCAUACAGUAUGUAACCUUUUGAGAUAGGCUUUGUUCACCACAUAACUGCCUCGAGAUCCACCCACGUUGUUGCAUGUAUCAAUAGUUUAUUCCUUUUUAUUGUUGGAUAGGACUCAAUGAUAUGGAUGGAAAUGUUUGAUUAUAUUUUUACAUCUACCAUUAAUAAAUUCAAUUUUCUGUCCACAUUAAGACCAUCGGUGAAUGGACUUGAUUCCAAUGUGACCACUACAGGAAUGGCGUCCAAGGGGCUCACCAGAGCAUCCUAGCCUCCACCCACCCAUGCAGGGGCUUUUGUCUGGGCCAUAGGCUGUUUCAUUGAAGAAAUGGGUCCUACCGGGCCAGCUGUUCUGCCUACUGACUUUCAGCUGUGGGGACCACAGUGCAUAGGCAGUAAGAUAGACAGGAACACCUUCAGUAAACAGAGAAGGUACAGUCUCAACCCCCGGCUUGCCCAACCUCAGGGCUGAGACUCCAGCAGUGGCAUCAUGGGAACAGGCAGCUGGGGUUCCUUUAAGAAGGAAGGUAAACUCCAGCAACAGUUGUUUAAAAAUAUGAUGCUUUCCAAUUCUCAGAGGGGAGCUUUUAUAUUUCCACCACUCACUGUGGCCCAAACCUCACUGUGCUGGAAUUUAGCUGUCCCCUUGACUGUUGACCCCAACACAGCAUCAACUCCCAGCCCCGAGCCUCACAAAAUGCCUGGCCCCCGUGAGCACACAAUAAAUGUUGCCGCAGGAGUUGGUGUUAUUGAAGGAGAGAGGCGAGUCAAAGGGGCCUACAGAGGAUGACCAACUCUAACAAGCAAGAGCUGCUUUCAUUUCAUUUUUAAAACCUGCUACCUUAGCUCUGGCAGGAGCCAGAGUACGAGAGAGGAGCAAUAAAACCAUCCCUUUCUUCCUCUCACUUCCAGCCCUGACUGCCCUCCCCUCAUCCCUUCACACCCCAGAUCUUCCUCCCAGACUCUAGGGAGAACUUUGUGUUCUGGGGAGGGUGGGGCUUCUUACUGAAGGGCAGGUGUCAGUGUAGGUGAAUAAGCAGGUUGGGUGGGGGUUGGGUGAAGGUGAGGUCACUCAAGGGGACUCUUCGGCCACGUAGGAAUGAAGGAACAAGAUUGAAGUCACACCCCCCAAAAACCAACAGAGGUUCUUUGAGCCUUUUCCUCCAACUCUCCUUCACCACAUCCAUGCCUUAGCUUCCCAACCUUGGCCUCUUUGCUAUGGGCAACCUGAAUAGUUUGCAUUUCUAGACAAAUAGGUGAAAGAAAAGAGCAGCCAUAACCCAACAUCCCUGUAACUGGCCCGGGGCCCCAGAUCCUGGGACUUUCCCCAACAGCUGGAUACUUCUUCCUCUGUGAAAGAUAACAGGGAUUGGCUGGAGCUAACCCAAAAAGCAAGCAGACAUAGACACAGGCUCUUGGAAAAGACCAAAUACUACUCAAACCCAGGGAUUUGGUUUCCCCACCCCCAAGGACCCAGGAAGAGGUUGCUCACAGCUGGGUGAGGUGCAGCACUUUCCACAGGAAUCAUGGCCUGGCUCUUUCCAGGGUAGGGGAGGAGCAGGUGCCGCUCCUCUCUGGGCAUGCGUGCCUCCUGGGUGUCCUUCAUGGAGCUUACACAGUGUGCUUUACACAGAGGCUAUGGCCUCUCUGGAAGAGUUAAGAUCUUUCUAUAGCUCUUGAGAUGGAGUAUUUAACACCAAUAAAGGCUUUCACCACCUCCUCAAAGCUUUGAACUGUUUUGUUUUUUAGAGAUGGGGUCUUGCUGUGUUGCUCAGACUGGUCUUGAACUCCUGGGUUCAAGCAAUUUUCCUGCCUCAGCCUCCUGAGUAGCUGGGACUAUAGUUGCCAGCCUGGGUUUCCAUCUAUAUCUUAAUAACCAGAGUUGCUGUGCACUGUAUCUAGGAUUUGGCUUACUUGGCAAACUCUAUGUCAUAAAAUCAGUAUUUCUUCAAUAAACUCAAUAUUUAUUUACUAUGAUCUGGCAGCUGAAGUAGCCCAAACUUCUGACCUAUAUUCUGUAAGGUGGAAGAGUGGGCCUUUUAGUAGAAAUCUCCAAGACCUAAGAAUCUCUAUUGAGACCCUGGGGUUAAUGCAGGCUCCACCAAAUCCAAGUGCUGGCUGGGAGACAGGAGUCAGCAGGAUUUCACUGAGAUGGUCAAUUUUUAUCCAGAAUAGGGCUAUGCCUGCAUUAAUUUGUCACCAGUGGAAUGAAAAUACAAACCCGCUGAGUAUGAUAGUUUGAUAUGAGGAGUGGUCAGUUAUAUAGAAAAUUUAAAACAGAAAGCCCAUGAGAAGUUUGCCUUUGGAAAUGCCCAUUAACUCCUUCCUAACAGGGUGACAGAGAGCUGGUGCCACCACAGGGAGUGUGCUUGUCAGAGCAGACCUCCUCCCCAGGUGGACACCAUGACCCUUCACAUCCUCCAGAUCAAAGCUUCACUUUCCCCUGCUCACAGUGGCUUCUUGGACGACCAUGUCUAAACCAGACCCUGCCUGCUAUUCUUGACCAGACAGAGAGAACAGCCUGAGUGAAGACUCUGAGGCAGGAGUGAGCAUGGCAUUAGCAGGGCCUGGCAGAAGGCCAGGAUGAUGGCCACACUGAGUGCUGGGAAACACAGCACAAGAUAAGCCUGGAGAAUUGACAAGGGCCGGUCUGUGCAGAACCUGAGGGCCAUGGCAAGAAGUCUGCCUUUUCUCCCCAUGUCCAGAGCAGGGAAGAAGGAUUUGCAAGUUUCUCACACAUGCCUUGGCUUAAGCAAAGCUUGCUGGCCUCCUUCAAGCCAUAGCACAGGGUGGCGUUUGCCGUGCCUGACUCCCCAAGCUAGGCACUGGGAGUCCAAGUGAACCAUCUGGAGGGGUCAACAGUGACGUGAGCAGAUAAGCCACAGCACAUUGAGCUAGAGGAGGAAAGAGGAAUGUGCACAUCCCUGCUUGGAUGUGGGGGCAGGAGGGGGAGGGCUCCAGGAAACCUCGCACAGAUUCUUUGGGCUGCCUAAAUCCCGCUGCUCCAUGUCUAGGUGGCUGAAGCGCCUCCUGGCCUGCCUCAACCCCUCCUCUGGCCUGUCCUGUUUACCAGCCCUGCCACCUGCCCACUCUAAGAGGCUCCACCCUUCCUUGGAACACGGAGUUCUCUGCCUCUGGACUCUGGGGAGGGUGAGAUUGUUGAGGCAGGCGGGCGAGCAUGAGAGGGAAGGAAGAGGGAGGGAGGUCAAAGAUACAAGGUGAGCUGGAGAAGAAACGGACUGUUUUGAGGAUUUCCCCUCACACAUUCUGGCUCCUACCUCUGACCGAAAGCAAAGGGAGCAGCUUUUACCAAUGGAAUGAGGCCAGGGUGUGUUGGCUUACACCCAUAAUCCUAGCACUUUGGGGAGGCCAAGGUAAGAGGAUCAGUUGAGCUCAGGAGUUCAAAACCAGCCUGGGCAAGAUAGCGAGACCCCAUCUCUACAAAAUUUUUUUUUUAAUUGGCAGGCAUGGUGGCAUGUGCCUGUGGUACUAGCUACUUGGAGGCUGAGGUUUGAGGAUCUCUUGAGCCCAGGAGGUCAAGGCUACAGCAAGCCAUGAUCGUGACACUGCACUCUAGCCUGGGUGACAGAGUGAGACCCUGCCUCUAAAUAAAUUAAAUCAAUCAAUCAAUACCAAUUAACUAACUAACCAACCUGUCUAUCGGGGUCAGUCAGCUCUUAUAGUCCCACCUGAAUUCUGCUUUGCCUUCUCCUGCAACAGCAACGCCUUCGAAAGUGCUUACUGUGUGCUAGGCAGGCGUUGCACAUGGACAGGGACUGGGAGUUCAGAUGGCCAGCUGGCCUGCUGUCUGGGGACAGGGGGUUUCCCAGGACCUGAGACUUUCAGUACUAAAACCAGGACAGUCCUGGGCAAGCUGGAACAGCUGGUCACCUGGUGGGAACUGAGCACCCAUGGAGUCAGCAGAGAAGGAAGGCGGCACCACAGCAUAGCUGGUGGUGGGAGCAAGCAGGAGUCUUUUCCUCCUUAGCACUGGAAGCGCCACUCUUGGCAUUUACCUCCCUUCCUGAAUGGAGCCCCACCUGUUUUUAUGAGGCCUCCCCAGGCCAAGCCCUCAGGAUGGGCAGGGGUGGGUUGAGACUGUGCUGUCUCUGCUGUUUGCUAAGGUUGUUCUCAUGGUAUCACGCUGCCAGAGACUGUCCACUUGGCUCACAUUGAUGGAGGUCAGCUAAGGACAGGCUGAUUAGCUGGCCCCUCAGGGCCUUUCUCUUGGUGACACAGCCUCUGGCUCAGAACAAAGGCCCCUCAUUUUGCUGAGGCACAGACUCUUGAACGUGAGAGUGCUGCCACCUGCUGGUCACAGCGCUGCUUCCAGAAGGGGAGCUGGAGCCUCAGGAGGGAGACUGGGCCAUGAGCCCAGGUCUGUAGCCUCUCUGUGGGCCACAGCACCACCUCCCAGCAUGCCCUGGGCCAGAUAGCUGAAGAAAAGAAGCUGGGGACCCCCCUAACAGGUAUGCCUUGAAGGGGACUGCAAGGCUCUCUCAUGCCAGAACUCUCUCAGGCUGGCCAUGGAUUCCCAGAAUUCCCAGCCAGCGUGGGCACUCUUAGCUAUAAUAGAACCCUCGGCCCAGUGGUGUGCUGGAGCUGCUGGGCAGGAGGCAAUCAUCAAAUAUUCAGGAAAUUUACCAGCUGCACUGGUCAUGGUGGGAGUAUUUACACCAUGGAAAUUGGCAAAGGCUACAGAUUAAGAGUUUUCUCCACCCGUAACUCUUCCUCCAGUGGAUUUAUCAGUACACCUUUGCAAAACCUCUAUCAAACUUAAAAUGUUGUCACCUGAGAAGGGGCAAGUACCAGCCUGUUUGUAAAGGUUUCUCAGAUAAAGCAUCAAGUAUGGAAUUGGCAUCAUAGAGAAGAAAUACAUUCUGAUAAGAGGGAGAUUGUGAGGAAGGAAAUUUUGUUAAGCUCCCUAAGAACAACUAAGGUAAUAGUUAAGGGCUCUGCGAUGAGAAACACAUGGAUUCAAGUAGCAGCUCUUCUACUUGCUAACUGAAUGAUGCUGGUCAAAUUGCUUCAUCUCUAGCUUCCAGUUUCCCUGUCUGCAAGUGGGGGUAUUGGGAGUAGUUGCCUCAUGUAGUUGUGAGGUGAUGCGUUUGAUGAAUCUAAGUGCUUAGAACAUUGCCAGGCAGAAAGCAAGUGCUCAAUACAUCUUAGAUAUUAUCAGAUAUUGAUUAGAACCUCCACUUCAGCAGGCUUAAACUGAUCUUGACAUCUUCCUGGUAAAACCAGUUUCACCUCUAGAUGUCUUUUACAGGGUUGGGGAAUGAAGACUGGUUCUUCCAUCCUCCCCGGCAGCUAACCUUUAACAUCAGCCUCGGUUUGGGCUAUUCAUUUGUACUUGUCCCCUACAGUUAGUAUGUAAGAAAAUGUAUCCCCUAUACUCUUAAUAUGAUAAAGUACAUCCUGAAUGUAAAGUAUCUAAGCAGUGAACACUUGCCAAACCAACCCAAAAUAUUUUGUGUAAAUGAGUCACUGGCCAGUUAAGAGGUCAAGUAUAGAAAGGGCAGGACUCAGAUCCGAUUCCAACUCCAAGACCUGAGUCAUCCUCAGUUGUAUUGCAUCUGAUUUAAAGGAAGAUUAUGUUAACAAGACACAAAUUGAAUAGAAUUGGGGAAAAUGGGAAUCUGAGAGCAGUGCUCUUUCAGUGGAAAGAGACAUGGGGCUUAGAGGACAUGAGCUCCCCUCUCAUGAGAGUGGAGGGCUUGGUUGUGCAGUAAAGAGAGUUGGUGAAGUUUCUAUAGAGCCUGAUGGACUAAAGCCCAAGAACUGACCUGAUGGACUUGCCCCAUCCAAGACUCUGGUCACCCCUCAAUCUUUGAAUGAAUACUUUGGCUUCUUGGGUGCUAAAAUCCUUGGAAGAUGUGUCCUUAGAUGAGAUACAUAUAUUUCCAUUGUUAAAAAGUUAUAAAUGAGUUUGCAUUAUACUCUUUUGACUUUUGUUAUAUGGACAAAGAUUAGGUUAGAUUUGGUUGCAUAAAACAGACAAAACAGUAGCAUAAAUAAAAUGUACAUUUAUUUCUCUCCCAUGUCAAUGAAAUCCAGAUGUUGGCAGCCUGGGACAAGUAUGGCAACUCUACAGUCAUCAUCAGUCACUAUCUUAUAGCUCCAUUAUCUUCAACAUGAGUUUUUGUCUAGUGGUUUAAGAUGGUCACUGGAGCUCCAUCCAGGCUGCUUUCUUGCCAACAAAAAAAUCAUAUUUUCCCAAAGUCUGACAAAUCACUGCCCAGGUGUACUCAUGCAAACCCAUUCUGAUGCAAGAAAACUGAAAAAUGUCUUUAUUCCAACUAGGGGUAGGAGGCAUUUGCCUAGCUAAAAAUUAAGGAUUCUAUUUUUAAUAAAGUAAGGUAGCUAGAUAUUGGUGGACAGCCCACAAUCUCUACCAAAGUAGAUCAAUUUCCCUAAGCCUGCUCAUUUUUGACAUCAGAGAACUGCUGCACAACAACCCCCAGGAUAAACCACCCUGUGAGCCCAGGAAGAGAAGAUGGCUGGAUUCCCUCUCAACACUCUCCUGCCUCAGUGUGAAUUUAAUCCCCAUACCCCAUAAGCCCCAGAGCCUCCAUUCUGUUGCUGCUACAGCACCUGUCCAAAGUUCCCUCCUUUCCAAUUUUGGUCUCAUCACUAAACUUCAGACCUCCGUGACCACUGGUCUGGACUUUUGCAAUAAUGCCCUCAUUGUUCUUCUGCCUCUACUCACUCUCCAAGCCUUUCUGCUGAUGGAUUGCUCUUCCUGAGGCACAAGUCCCACCAUGAUAUAUCCCUGCUCAAGAAUGUCCAUGGUUUCCCAUUUUCUGCCCUAAAGUCUAAAUUCCUUAGAAUCCUGAAGGCUUUCUAUGACAAGGCCUUUCCCUGAAUUCCUAAGCUCAUCACUCUGAAGACACUUGGAGAUCCAGCAAGUGCCACUCCUUAAAUAUGACUUGAACACUUCUGCCUCCAUGCCUUCCUUCCUGCUCUUCUUUCUGCUUGGCAUGCUCUUCCUUUGUCUCAGCCUGCCUAAAUCCUACCCAUCUCACAAAGCUCAGGACAAAGGCCUCCUCCCCCAUGAAGCUUUGCCCAAGCUAGAAUGACCGUCACCCUCCUAAGUGUUGCCACAGGGCAUUAUGCUUCCAUUCGGCUCACAUUACAAGUAUUUCUGUGUUCCCUACUAGAGUGGGGCUGGGCUAUGCUUGCUUGCUCACAGCAUCUCACAUUAGUGCCUGCCAUAUCAGCAACAUGCAAUGAGCGUUGGUAGAACUGAAUUGCAGAGUACAGCUGGGGCUCCGUGGAACAGAACCAGUUGGAAAUAGGAUGUGAAUGAGAACAGCUCACAGAAUGACCUGCUGUGCCUGCCAGAAUUUGGAAAGUUGGGGUGACCACUGACACCACUCUGGGAGCAAGUAUUCGGGUUCCACUUAAAUAUACAAAUGUAGGCCCAGGACUUCCACCAAAAUGAAGCCCCUUCUGGGCUUGUGUUUGAGGAGCUGUAUAGGGUGAUAGAGUGACACUGGUAAGGAUUGCUGUCCUCUCUACUUUAUUUUUUUUUUUAAGGUUCAAGAUCUGAGUUGCCAUAAAAAUAAAAACCUUGGUGGGGGUGGGGGUGUGGAGGGAUUUGAAAGAAAACUGUAAAUUAUCAAGAAAAAUGAUUCAUUUCUCAGAUGAAGACCCUCAGUCCCAGAAAAGCAAGGGUGAGUAUGCCCAAGGUCACCCAGCCAGGGUGAAGGGUGGGACUUAGCCUGUCCCAAUCCCAGUCUACUAUUUUCUGCUCCACCACCAUAGCUGCCCAGGGUGAAGACACCAUCAGUUCUUAAGGUCACUUCUAAUUUGGGGAAAUAAAAGGUCUUGAAGGUUACACAGAGAUUUGUGCACUGCUGAUCUUAAUUUUAUGCUUGCCGUCAUAAAACCAGUUUAUGCUUAUACAACUAAAGGGGGAAGACAUGCAUCCAAUUCUCUCAGUUUCAGUUCUUUGUCUUUGCAUCAGUUAUUUAGAUUUUUCCCUUCUCUGCUCAUUAUCACUUUUCCUGAGGAGGUAACAAAAUGUCUUUUUCAAUUUUCUUCUGGGACUAAUUCUCACUGGGAUCACCCAUUUUUUUCUCCAGUUUGCAACUGGCUAGAUUUGAUUGGAAUAGAUAAGGCCUCCGACCAUAGGCUGUUGAAAGGCCCUUUGUUUGUGGAUUACAAGCGGUCAUUCAGUUUAUCCCAUUCAUUAUGCGACCCUACUUUUUUGAGUUGCAAGGUUAAGGCCUGGGGCAAAAUGUUGAUGGAAAGGAACAUUAAGCACCAAGUAGUACCGUGUUUGUGUUCAUUCCAAUCCACAUUCACCUCCCUUAACUGGUGAAGGUUAUGACUACAGCCCACUCUCUAGUGACUCAUUUCAGGAAAAGGACAUGUGACAAGAACCUGUCUCACAUGGGACUGCUUGCCAGGGGUGCCAGGACAGAGAUGGCAUUGUUCAGGAAAGAUUCAGGAAGUCAAACAUCCGGAGAAAAGCAUGCAUGGUUAACUCACCCCACAGGCUGGAUGAGAACAUAUUUUUUUUCUCACUGAUCAAUCUGUUUAUCUACUUCUACAAGGGCACUCAGAGGACUUCUGGAAUAAUUAUUCCUUUUGGUCUUAAAUGCAGCUUUCCUGAUGGGCCAGGAAAGGGAGAAGGGAUAAGUAUUCCUGGAAGUGUUUUACCUGUUGUCACAUUAAUUCUAUCCUCCCAAUAGCUUUUUGAGAUCAACAUUAUCCCCACUCUCAAUGUAUAAAUGGGGCAAUUUAGAUAAGGCAAGUUAAGGAAUUUGCCCAGGCCUAUCUGCUACUAAGUGGCAGACACAGGAUUCAAACUUGGAUCGAGGUUGACAUUGAAGUGUAUUUCCAAUGUCAGAAAAUGUCCUCUUUCCAUGCUAGUGCCCAGGUUUCCUCUCAGACAAGUAGCAGCUGCUAAAUGCUACUGCAGAGCAUUGUCUCUCCCAAACACAUCUCUGUUCUGACCUCUUUCCAUCUAGCUGUCCUCAAAACCCACACAAAUUCCACCUUCUCCAUGAAGACUUCCUGAUCAGCCCGUCCCAAGAGACUAUGUACAGUCUCACACGCGCUCUCUCUCUUCUACCUCUGUAAUCCUCUCUGCUUGCACUCCUGGUUUAGCCCUUAAUAGAUAUAACUUAGUGCAUAUAAACUUUCACUUGCAUACGCAAACUCCCAGCUGUACUAUAAACUCCUCAAGGACAUGAACAAUGCCUCUGUUGAGCCCUGAGAAUUUGUAGCAUAACGAAUAAUACCAACUAGCUGCUGCAAAAUGCGUGUUGAAUAAUUAACUGGUUAAUUUUUAGGAGAGGAUAUGGGAGUCCUCAUGAUUCUGUUAAGUAGACAAGCAUGGAAAACUCAAAGGCAAGUAGUUGUCUCUUUGGCUAAGACUCCCCUUAGCACCACAGUCUGUAAUUCACUCACCAAAUCUUUCUGGGUGUUUUAGAGAAGAUGGACAUUGCUCUGCACUGAAACCAUGCGUUAAGCCCUCUGCCGGUUUUAGGGCAGACUAAAGCACCCUGCCCAAAGCUCAGAAGGUUCAGGUGAGUUCAGAAAGCUCCAGGCUUUCUGGCAGCCUAGUAUGUUCCCUUAGUCUUUUCCCAGUCUGGGCACUCACUCCCAGCUCCUCCCCAGGUGUCCACCUCUUAGCCUCACCCCAGGCCUUAGUGAUGACAGCACUAGGCAGCAACUGGUAUCUCCCCUGGAGGCAAAUAUGCCUGCACAAAGCCCAGACCUUAUGCUCUUCUCUCCUGGGAUUCUGCUUAUUUUCUUUCUCCUUAACUUAUUGCCCCUUCUUCUAUGUGGUCUGUUAAUCUCCAGAUCUUUGAGAAGGAUGACCAUGAUGUCAGAGCACGGGCCUUGGCAUGGCCUGUCUGCAUCUCUCUACUCUCCGCUCCCCGCAAGAUUCCUGGGUCAUGUGGGGCUUCCUCAGCACCCCCUCUCCAUGCAGCUCCUCCUCUCUGAGUCUGCCUCCUGCCUUUCCUUCCAGCCCCAUCCAGGGUGUGGAGAGAGCUCUUGACCACAGGUGGAGGUGCCCUUCCCCACACCUGAUGAGCUCUGUCCACACUUGGAGACCAGCUUGUGCCCUAUGGGUCUGAGCCUGGGCCUGCCUGUCCCCCAACCUGGCCAUGAGGGCCCUGAAGCCACCAUCACGUCUUACCUUUAUUUCUGAUGCCUAGAUCUGUGACUGUCACAUAGUAAGUGGUCAAUCAAUAUCAACAGAAGGUGGAAAUAAAUGGUAAAUGAGUAAACAGUCUUGGUUCUGCUCUAUGAAAAUACCGAACACAUCAACUCACUCUGACAUUAACCGUUUAGACACUUAAAGCAGGCCUCUGAACUAGACAGAUCUGGAAGCAUCACAUAGAUCACCAAUCACCUCAUCUACAAGAUGAAGACCAAGACUGGUAAGUGGCUUGCACAAGGUUAUACAGAGUGUGAGUGGCAGACCCAGACUGGAUCAGACUCUCUGAGUCCCUGCUGAAGGCACCAUCUCAGCCAUGCUUUCAGAGUAAGAAAGCUUUGCUUCUAAAAUACCUAGUAAUUCAGACUUUUCUCCCAAUUAUUUCUAAUUAGUAACCUACCUAGCACUGAUGAGUUCUUGAAUAUAUGCAUGCAUGCAUGCAUGUAUAAGUGAAUGAAUGAAUGAAGGCGAGGUCAUGCUGGAUUCACAGCAGCAGCAGUGCAGCUUUUCCAAUAAAGGCACUAGGGAUGUGUGCAGGAUUGAGGUGAUGCGUUUAAGGCAUCUUUCUGCCUCACAACCCUGACACUGUGCAUACCCGGGCUCUGCCAUCGCCCCUACUCUGCAGACUGACAGAGGCUGUUCUGAGCUGUCCUUGCCAGCACCAUUCUUGUUGAAACUAUUAGGUUGCUAUUGUUUUUAGCAAACAAACAGCUGAUGCCUCAUAGAAAAUUUAGCAUUUGCUCAUUCCUGUUCCAUUUAUCUUUUAGUUUGUGCAUUUUCUCUUCUUUAUUAGCAGGGCACUUACUGGAAAACUAGAUCUCUGUCACUUACUGGUUUCAUAUGUUUCUUCUGUUCAUAACCUACCUGGAGUCAGAAUUAUGUCUCUGUCACAGAGCAAUUGGUUGCUAUGGAAAUGAUCAUAGCACCCCAGACAGGAGGCCUGCGUUGGAGAGAAGAGGGAGUGCUGUGCCCAUUGGGGUGGGGGUGGGUAUGGGGGAGGUGCUGCAGGAAUCCUGAGUGUGACUUUUUAAGCUAGUACUGACUUGUCUAGGCCAACCUGGUCAUCUUGACCCUCUUCCUACUCAAAGUUGUGUGUGUGUGUGUGUGUGACACUUCACUUAUCCACACUCCCACGCACCCCACCCAAAUAUAAAACAAAUGCUUCCCCUAACUUCUCUCUUCUACCUCCAAGUCCAACUUAAAGUUCACCUCCUCAAUCUUCUGUGGUUAACCACCCCUGACUAACCCCUUCGCCAAUCAAACCCCCCCCCCCAUUCCUAGUGAGUUUGUACUUAAUUCAAUUGCAUUGGAAUCACUUGCAUUCCUUCUCCUGGGCUUUUUUUUUUUUUUUUUUUUUUUUUUCUUACCGGGCUUAUGUGCUUUAUCUUCCCAACAGUAUCCAGGCCCCACAGAAGUCCAUCUGGGCCAGUUGGUUUUAUCUUCCCACAGAGCCCAAGCCAAGCUUGGCUGACCACAGGCCCCUGAUAAAUGCUGCCCCCGACUCUCAGAGAGAUGGACAGUCUCAGCCCCUGAGCCUGUCCACUUUAACCCAUCCAAUCUUACCUCCUGAGGAUCAGUAUGCCUAGAGCAAUAGGCAAAUUAGACAGCUCUGGAUAUAAUUUUAAACACUGUCAACCCAAUGAAAGGAGAAAAACUCUAAAGCUUCAUUUGCCUAAAACGUCCUCAGAUGAAAAAGGAAGAAUGAGAAAACAGUUUAGUUAUUUAAAACUGUCUUAUUUUUGUGGGUUUUAACUCAUUUAUGUUUCAAGUUUGCCCUUAGUCUUGGUUGCCUGUCACCCACAGCAACUUUGACCUCCAGAACCCUUAGGGUUCACAUGCAGUGACUCUCCCUUCUGGGUUUCCACUGAAGGACCUUGCGGGACUGUCCAGGUCAAUGGCAGCUGUACAUGGUGGGAGAACCUGGGCCUGUUCCAAAGUGCUUUAUAGGACAAGGUUAAGCUCACAAACAUGAGUUGUGGACUUGGGGCCUUUCCUUUGUCUAACGGGCAAUAUCCUUACAUCCGGGACCUGGGGGUGCCGAGCCCGUGAACUUCCCUUGCGGCCUGUGGUUGGAGACAAAUAGCUGUGCUGGCUCCGUUGGCAGAGUUGGUGUUGGUUUUGGUGCCCCAACCUCCUUUUUCUGGAAUCUGCCCCAUAUUCAGUCCCCAGAUGGAAGUAAGCUGAUACUCAGGUUGCUAUGAAGUCACAACUUCAUCAAAAUGCAUUCCAUGACCUCACUGACAGGUUCAAAUUGCACCAUGAGACAUGCACUGGCACCAUGAACCUAUCAGAUAAAGUGUCCUGAGGGCUGCAGUCUUGCAUUUAUUUAUUUGAUGAACAUACCUCUACCUCAUCAGACAAUGAGCUCCAUGAUGUCAUCGUGGAGGGAUUUUAUCUGUUUCUAGUCGCUUUUGCUUCCCCAGUGCCUAGAUGCCUAAUUCAUAUUUGUUGAAGGGAAAUGGGGUAGGGUAGAGGAGGAGGGAGGAAGAAAUUUCUAUCGCUUUCUACAGUUAAAAUGGAGAGAAUCUAAAGAACUUUCCCAAGGACACAGAGAUAGUAAGUGACACAGCAGGACACUGAACCCAAGUUUCCAAGGCACGUUUCUUUUCCACCCUAUCAUAACUUUCUUCUAGGGCCUUGGCAGGCCUCUGUGUGCUGUGAUAAUCACACCCUGAAGAUUAUUAUGACAUUGGAGGCAUGCCCGGUCUGGCUCCAGACAAGGUGGUGCAUGCAAUAUCAUGGAGCUGCAGCAGUGUCACUUAGCCACAUGUAGGGCAGAAUGAUGCUAGGCAUACCCUGACAGAUCUCUGGGUGACAUAAAGAUGACUUCGACUUGGCGCUAUCCAGGUGGAUUCCUGGGGGCGCCACAACUAGACUUAGCAGGAGUAUAAGAUUUAGGAUAAUCAGCCUGCUAGAAGAAGAAAAGCAACCAUCUAUUGUGCCCUUAUCAUAUGCAAAACUCUUUAAUGACACUAUUUGGUUGAUUCUGACAUAAGACCUUCUAAAGAGAUACUAUUUCCCCCAUUUUACAGAUGAUGAAACUGAGGUCUGGAGACCGAGUUGCCCAGAGUCACACAACUGUCAGUAGUCAUGGAGGAAUUAGCUUUGAAAUGCAGAUGUGUCUGAUUUUGAGCAAUUUUUAUUCUGUGAUGGAGCGCAGCCUCAAAAUAGAACAGAAUGCUCAACUACCUCAUAUAGAAUGUGAGAAAUAACCCAAGAAGUAGAAAGAAUGAGAGGGAGCUGGAAUGAACCAUCAUGGCUGGAGGUUCAGUAGAAGGUUGCUGGCCCUGGGAGCAAGGCCCAGGACCCAAGGAAGAAGGGUUGGCUGGAGCCAUAGGAAGAAGGGAUGCAGCCAGAACAGCACCGCAGCUGACUGAGGCAGGUGCAGAAGAAGCUCAGGCCCGGGCAGGAAAGGACCUCGCUUACUUGUUUAGAACGUUACACAAAAUGCAAUGCACCAUCAAUUCUUGGGUCAUCCCCUCCCUCUGCAUUCUUUUUAGCAAAAGGAGUUAUUAUUUCCACUUUCUAUGAAAACAUUCAUUUCUUCAAAAUCAGAUAUCCUAGAUCUAGAAGAAAAAAGUGGGUAAAAUGAACCAGCUGUACAGUUCAAAGGAAAAUAUAGUGAUGCGCUCUGUC